rnacentral:piRNA from 1 species
UUUAUGGACUUAACUUCAGAA